rnacentral:lncRNA from 1 species
GAUGAAGAAAGCGGAACCCAGAGAGAUGACAAGAUUUGUCCCAGUUCACACAACCUCUAAGUGGCACAGUAGAAUAAAAGCCUACCUUUUGACAUUAAAAUCUUCUCUUUGCUCCCUAUGGUUCCUGUUCCAUUGUUUUGAGCUGAGGUUGCCAUUUGCCUCUUUCUAACAAACACUUUGGGUUCUGAAAUUGGAUUUCCAGGCUGCUGAUUCCAAUGACUCUUGCUUGAAAUAGGCAGCCAUUGAGAUGGCCUUUUAGGAAACCGAACAGCCAAAGUGGACAAGGCUCAAAGAAAAACGAAAACAGUACAUUCAUUUGGGCUUCCUGCCCAUUCUCUGAAUCAUUCAGAGAGGAUCAUGAAGAAGAGAAAAGGCACAUUUUACUGUUAAUGGAUUUUAACUCACUUUUAAUUCAACAGCAAAUGGAAGCAUCUAUUGUUUUUGCAGAUCUAACAUCCCAUUAUUCCUCUGAAGUACCACUGGCUGACUGUUUUUAUCAAUGUUGGCAUGGAUACAAGUCUAUUCUAUCACAUGUCACAGCUACUUCUCCACCUCAUACUUCAGCCCCCUCUAAUUGGACAUCUACUCAGCAGGGUGCCUUUGCCACAGUCCUUCUCUCUUCCCAUUUUGUCUGGGUUCUGCAUUCAAUGUCCGGAGUGUGAGAUUGUGAAGUUGUCAAGCACUCGGCAACCCGGAAAGCAGGGGGAGGAAAUUCUUAUUUACUCCAAAGUCUAAAGAAGGAGGAUUGUUCACAGGACCAAAGAAGAACGAGAAAGGAGGCUAAAAAUCAAAUAGACACAUUGUGAAAAGAAUCAAUGAGUGAAGAACAAAGGCAAAGAAAGAAAAAUGAGAAUUUCGUAUUAUUUCAACAAACUUAUCUAAGUUCUCAAGAUUAAUUUUACUGAAAUGGCUGUCUUAAAGCGUGAAAUAGAUUAGUGUGGUUUGUGGCAAGAAUGCUUAAAACACAAAAUCAGAACUAACCUCAAAAUGCUUCUUUUAAAAUUCUUACAUUAAAAAAAAAAAUUCCUGGAAGUAAAGCUGAGUGGGAAAAAAAAAAUCAGCUGAAUUCAGAUGAAGAUUCUAAUGCUAAACAUCCAAACAUAUCUGAUUUAGUAGGUCUGUAGUGGGGCUCCAGAGUAUACGACUUAAGUAAGGACCUUACAUAUACGAGACUUUGUAUACAUAAGGGACCAAUGCAGGUGGUCCCUUCACCACCUUUUGAGAAAUACUGUUUUGGUUGUAAGAGAGAGAGUUGACAGCCAUUUUCUCCAGCUGGAGAAAAGCCUUUUAUAGAGACUGGGAACCAGAAAGAGCCUGUCUUUGCCAGAGCAAAGAUCACAGAUUGGUUCUCACGGUAGGGUCCAAGAGGUGAUGUGCUCUUUAACAUGCAGGUGCCUGGUCUCUGUCUCAGAGCAGCUGAAUCAGAAUUUCUGAAGUCAGGAUGGGAAAUAGGCUGUUAUUCAAGCCCCUUACACAAUUAGAAUGCACAGUAACAUCUGGAAAUCACUGCCACAGAUAAUGUAGGAGGCACUUUUCCCCAGAACUCUAAAUUCACUGAAGGAGCAAUGAUACAUUUUAAUAUGUGGUGUCCAGCAAUGACCUCAUAAUAAUGUAUUUCUA